ensembl:snRNA U5 U5 spliceosomal RNA
AUACUCUGAUUUCUCUUCAGAUAGAAUAAAUCUUUUGCCUAUUUACUAAAGAUUUCCGUGAAGAGAACUAAGUCUGAGUGUUCAACAAAUUUUUUGAAGCCUUGCUUUGGCAGGGCU